UAAUCAGUGCAGACAUCUAUCGACAUGACAGCUGAUAAAACAUUUGCUCUACCGCCAAAAAGUGAGGUGCUCUCCCACGGAUUCCAUUUUAGAUCCUCAUCUAGAAGAGAAAUAUCUUCAGACCGAUUUGAUUGUCCAACCAUUUUUAGAAAUAAACAACUUUUUGAUUGAA